CUAGAAAAAGGAUUUCGGCUGAGUAAGCGAGCUACCCCAGGAGUAGAUUCCAAACUCAAGUCAAGACAUGGGUGACAGCAGCCACAGCAAGCAUCUGACGACAAACACAUGGGAGAACUGAGCCAAAUAAUUCAAUGAGAUAGUUGAUCAUUCAAGAGCCUGAUGACUGGGGAGGAUAGUCCUCAGGAGAUGACCCAAGCCCUGAAAUUUGGGACCAGAGGUUUACUCUUCAUCCAUUUGUAUGUAUUGGUUAUUCAUCCUGUGUGUGAUAAAUAGCAUAGUGUUUGAGAACUACCACUAUGGGAAAAUCCUGC
rnacentral:lncRNA from 1 species